rnacentral:tRNA from 1 species
GCCUGGGUGGCUCAGUGGUUAAGCAUUUGACUUUAGUUCAGGUCCUGAUCUCGUGACUCAUGAGUUCGAGCCUCACGUCAGGCU